GGGGCUGCGCGCCUGUUUAGGAUGUCACCAACCACGACGGGCUUCCUCCCAGCGAGUGGAGCUCAGGGGUAAUCGGAGCUGUUUGGAGGGCCGGAUUCCUGACCAGCACUGAGUCGGAACAGCCGUGUGCCAGCAGCACGGCCAACAGGCGAUGCUGAGUUUGGGCUAAGAGCUCUUAACCCCAUGUUGACAUUACCAACCCGAUAGAGGGGAUGGCCUCAUGCUGGGCCCAGCGCUUGGAGUGCUGCAGAACUGCAGGCAGGAUACAAACAUCCGCAUCAGGAAUAACUGUUAGGAUCCCAGCGGUGUGUCCCACACUGAGCAGACGGCUCCGAGACUGCUGCCACCUCCAUGGGAACUGCGGGAGCCCCUGGGGCUCAGUCUGAGGUCUCGUGCUCUGAAAUGAGGGCUGUGCUGUGAGCACGUAUCUCACAGGUGAGCUGUGAGCAGCACUGAAAUAGAGUAGAGUGAAGAGCUGUAAGGUAGCUUGAAGACUGACGUUAAUUACGCAGUAAUUUUCUAGCUGUGAUCCAUGACGGACCUGUUGCUGAUCCCCAGACAGAUGGCGAGUCACACAGGAUGGGCUUCUCUUCAUUUCCAUCUGCUAUAUUUCAUUAAGGCAGCUAAAAAUAAAAAUAUCCUGAAUGUUAUUUUUCCAUGCAAGCUACUGCUACAGCAAUGUGAUACGGCAGUGACUGGAGCUUCCGAGCGACAAGGAAUUCUGAACUGAUUUGUGAUCCUUGGUGUGAAAAGAGACCGCGACCCCCUGCACCAGCCUCAGUGUGAGCGCUGCGCUUCCCUGCGUGCGCUGCAGAAGAGUCUGUUCACAACAAUUCUGUGCUAGAAGGGGAGCACAGGCGUGGCUGUCUCCUCUGAGCGGAAGUUCCCAUUUCUGGGCUCUAACUAUUGCAGAUGGUGCCAUGAAAUGGUGGUGCAGUCACAGAGGUCUCCAUGCAGUGGGAACACGUCCCCAAACCGCUGCUCUGAGCUUUCAGCUGGCGCAGUGCACAGAGCCCUCUUACAGCUUUGUUUGGGGCAUUGUUGGGAUUUGGUUUUAUGGAUUUUUCAGCUCUACUGCGUCUUUGCACAGUGAAGCCGUGCUCUUGCACACACAGCUCUACUAAUCUGUGUUAGUGCCCGGACCUGGCUGAUGCUUGGGCUUCAGAACCGAGGAUGGAGUCUGGCACUGAGAUUUUUAGGCCCAGGCUAUUUUUGUUCCUGGCUCCACUGGCCAUUGCUAUAGAUCUGAAUGCUGAGCGUGGACGUGCGCAAGAGAAGAGCUCUAUUAUUUCACCCUACUUCGAAAAGCCAGAAGGAAGCUUUCAGGCAGCACAGCUCGCAGCACCACCAAUGCUCCGUCUCAGUGGCAGUGCCUGCAGCGCCGCUCGAGGACCUUUGUUCCGACCCCUCCUUUCUUCGUCGCUCCAUGCUUCGAAAAACAAACUGUUUCCUCGCCCUCCUGGCAGUGCUCCCAUGAGGAAAUUCCUGCUCUGCAGCCACACCAUCCCUCCUUCAGUCGGGUCACGUUGCUUCCCCAUUCGCCCGGCCCAGCCCUCACCCCAGGAGAACCUUUGGCUCCGUUCUUGCGCCUGUUCUUCCUCCUCCGUUUAUUGGAGUUCCACCCUAAGCUCACACUGACUCGGGCCCCAGUUUAGCAAGGAAUUUUAUCAUGUGCUCCACGUAACUGGCUUAGACCUUCCAUCUGUUUUUAGCUUAUCAGAGCUGCGGGGGGAGCCGCCCGGUUCCGCACCCCCGGCUCUGUGUGCGUUGGCGUUUCUGAGCGAAGAGUUCACUUGCCUAAAGUGGAGCAGGAGCUCAGAUAAGGAGCGCUGCUGAGCUGGGCUCCAUCCAGCAUGGUGGCACGUCUCCCCAAAGCUCGUGGUGCUCCGCAGCUCUGACACGUUCCAGGUUGUUGGGUGCUCCUCCCACAGCUCACCGCUGGCAUAUAGCUGGGUGCUCUGCGCUUUGCUGCACGUACUGGGAAUCCUGAGAGAGGAGUAUAGGAUUAAAUCUUAGUCUUGGGAGCAGAGAAUGAAGCCAAAGUGGGCAAAAAGUGAUGAGCCCAGAAGUAUUGGACUCAGUGUUUCAUUCCCAGUGGAGUCGGACGCAGCAGAGUCUGAUUUUGCUGCUGGCACCAUUGUGCCAAUACACGGUGUGAUGGCAACGGCUACAGGAGCAGAAGGAUGCCUGGACUGCACGCAGCCGCUUAUAACUUCUGCCUUCAAAGGUUGCCAUAUUUAAUUCACAUCAUGUAAAAAUUCCAUUGGCGAAGGGUGGGGAAAACUGAACGUUGAAUGAGGACUUCUGUUCUCCCGCAGAGCUGCACUGGAGGAGCCGGGCUGUGGCAGUCGGAUUUCUGCUAUAGAACAAACCUCUGCACAACCUGCCCAGGCUUCGGGUCGCAUGCGGCGGAGCAGAAUAGCAGACCGUGGGAUUUUUAACCCUAUGAUGAGCUGUGAAUUUUGGAGAUCCUCCUUGGCGUGCGUUCAAGCCAGCCUUAAUGAGAAACGCCCCAUGCCAACCUCAUGACUCAGCCCAACCGGCAGCUUCUGACACCCAUCCCAAAAGUCGUUGGCCUUCCCUGGGAAGAAAACAAGGCUGCCCCUCCCUUCCUUCCUGCAGCCGCACGGGCUGCUGCUAAGCCAGUGCAUCUUUUGUAUCAGCAGGAUUAGACGUUGGUCUUGUGCCUACAGACUAUGAGACGAGCUGGUGGCCGUGGUUCCUCCCGCCUCACAGCCCCGCUGCGCUGAGCGGCUCCGCUGUGCCACCCCGCUCUGUGCUCAGGCAUGGGAGGUUUGUGCAGCCAGCGUGCAAAAUCCUCCUGCAGCUCCGGUGCAAAUCUUUGUGAAGACAGCUACGCAUCAAAUAUAUCGUGAUGUUGCUUCUAAAUCCUAUAUUAUAUUUGUAGGAGGUACAUACCUACGUACUCUCUGUAUUAUUUAUACGGUGUAUGAAUACCCGAGCAGCUGCUACCCAGAGCCAAUGUCUGCAAUGGGAAAUGCUGCUCAAAUACUGCUGGAAUGCUGGGGUAAUCCUCGCCCUGUGCCCACUGCACGGCCCCACGGGGAGAGGCAGCGGCGACGGGCAGCGGCUCAGCUCUGCCACUGCGAAUUUCUUGACCUCUAACACUUUGUUUUGUUUUUAUUAUCAUUUUUUAAUCUCAGCCUUUUCCAUGCAUGGGCUGCGCAGCACAGAGCGCCAUAAAAAAUCGCAGAUAGAGACAGAGCCAGAUCUGUGAUGCAGUUACCAGUACUUCAUUAACCUUUAUCUUGACAAGUGGAAAUAACGUGCUGUGAUUCAGGGUAAAUUUUUCACUUGCAGAGAAAAAAUGGUGCCAAAAGGAAGCAAACAAGCUAGACAUGAACCAAUAGAAGUCUUGAUAGAAGAAAACAGCAGGGCCGGGCUGGCUGGGCACACUGCUGCUGUGCUCCUAUGUGCUCUGGGUGCCAUCGGCACAGGCACACAACCCCCCGAGCCCCAGCAAAGCGCGCCCUGGCGGGAUGGAGUUCAGCCCGGCCUCUGUUCUGCUGCAGCCUGCGGUGGCCGGCAGGGUCCCCCAGAGGAGAUGGCAAAGCCAAUGAGUAAUAAGGAGAACUGAUGUUUUUCCAAGCAGAAACCAGCCUGACUCACCACUAUUUUGUUUCUUUUAUUGUUAUUUGUAUUGCUCUGAUGCCAGACAUCAGAUCUCAGUUAUUGAGCCCAGGAUUUUAUCACCAUAUAACAGGAGAAAGUGCCCUCUGAAAUGCUUCCAAACUAAAUCAAUAGGAGGGAAAAAAAGGAAAAAAGCAGAGCAGCUUGCUGCAAUCCAGGGCAGAGCACUUCUCGACACCCGGCUGCUGAGCUUGUCAUGAAGUCAGUGUCUGCUCCUGGCAGGGCUGCCACCAAAGAGGCUCUCCGGAGCUCAUAGAGUUCUCCACAUUGCACAUACUGCCCUGCCCUCUGCAGCUACCUAACGGACUCAGGGAUGCAUGAGGCUGAAGGCAGAGCAGGGACAUCUGCCUACAAAGCCCCCAGAACAGCAGUAAUUGCCCAUUAGCAGAGCGACCCAGGAGGCUGCAUGGUGAUGUCUGUGGCACUUCUGUGAGCUCCCAGUAGGGAGAUGUGCUUGGCCAAUUCUGCUCGGGGAAGGUGGACAGCAGCAGGGCUGCAUGAUGGACAGAUGGACGGACGGACGGAUGGAUGCAACUGUGGGAUCUCUGCUCCUCUCCUUCCUGCACUGUUUGCAUGAAUCCUUCCAAAGCUUUUUGGGUGCUUUUUUCUCCCUCCAAGCGGAGGAAACGUGCAUGCUUUUGGUUUUCUUACCCCCCAUUAAUUUCCUCAGUUCUGAAGCAGAACGGAUCUAAUUAUCCAGACAAAUAGAACAGCUUUGAAAAAUGGCCUGUUCUUUGGUACACCUGGCAUCUGGAGUUGGUAAAAACUCAGGAACUUCUCAAAUGCUCCUUGUGGUUGAGAGGAAGGGAGGGUGAUAUUUAGUCAAUGAUCUUUGCCCUCAUUUUUAAGGAAAAAAACAACAACCCAUCAAUUCUGCUGCUGGCAAUUGCAAAAGCAGUUAGGCUGAGCUCUCUCUUAAAUGAACAAACACUUACGGAUCUAUUUAUACCUGCCCUGAAGCAG
rnacentral:lncRNA from 1 species